CACGUAGUUAGCCGGGGCUCCUUAGUCAGGUACCGUCAUUAUCUUCCCUGCUGAUAGAGCUUUACAUACCGAAAUACUUCUUCACUCACGCGGCGUCGCUGCAUCAGGGUUUCCCCCAUUGUGCAAUAUUCCCCACUGCUGCCUCCCGUAGGAGUCUGGGCCGUGUCUCAGUCCCAAUGUGGCCGUUCACUCUCUCAAGCCGGCUACUGAUCGUCGCCUUGGUAGGCCGUUACCCUGCCAACUAGCUAAUCAGACGCGGGUCCAUCUCACAGCGAUAAAUCUUUGAAGGAACCUUCAUGCGGAGAUCCCUUGUUAUGCGGUAUUAGCAGCCGUUUCCGGCUGUUGUCCCCCUCUGUGAGGCAGGUUACCCACGCGUUACUCACCCGUCCGCCACUCAGUCAUUACCAUCUUCCCUCCGAAAAGUUCCGUCGGUAGCGCUUCGUUCGACUUUGCAUGUGUUAAGCACGCCGCCAGCGUUCAUCCUGA
rnacentral:rRNA from 1 species